rnacentral:rRNA from 1 species
GCUCAACCGAAGAAGUGCAUUGGAAACUGGGAGACUUGAGUGCAGAAGAGGACAGUGGAACUCCAUGUGUAGCGGUGAAAUGCGUAGAUAUAUGGAAGAACACCAGUGGCGAAGGCGGCUGUCUGGUCUGCAACUGACGCUGAGGCUCGAAAGCAUGGGUAGCGAACAGGAUUAGAUACC